rnacentral:rRNA from 1 species
AUUGAACGCUGGCGGCAGGCUUAACACAUGCAAGUCGAGCGGGGUGAUGGUGCUUGCACUAUCACUUAGCGGCGGACGGGUGAGUAAUGCUUAGGAAUCUGCCUAUUAGUGGGGGACAACAUCUCGAAAGGGAUGCUAAUACCGCAUACGUCCUACGGGAGAAAGCAGGGGAUCACUUGUGACCUUGCGCUAAUAGAUGAGCCUAAGUCGGAUUAGCUAGUUGGUGGGGUAAAGGCCUACCAAGGCGACGAUCUGUAGCGGGUCUGAGAGGAUGAUCCGCCACACUGGGACUGAGACACGCCCCAGACUCCUACGGGAGGCAGCAGUGGGGAAUAUUGGACAAUGGGGGGAACCCUGAUCCAGCCAGGCCGCGUGUGUGAAGAAGGCCUUAUGGUUGUAAAGCACUUUAAGCGAGGAGGAGGCUCUUUUGGUUAAUACCCAAGAUGAGUGGACGUUACUCGCAGAAUAAGCACCGGCUAACUCUGUGCCAGCCGCCGCCGUAAGAC